GACGAACGCUGGCGGCGUGGAUUAGGCAUGCAAGUCGAACGGUAGGAUACCUUCGGGUAUCUGAGAGUGGCGAACGGGUGAGUAACACGUAGGUGAUCUACCCUCAAGAUUGGGACAACCCAGGGAAACUUGGGCUAAUACCGGAUGAAAGCAGCAGUGAUGUUGUUUGAAAGGUGGCGUAAGCUGCCGUUUGGGGAUGAGCCUGCGCUCUAUUAGUUAGUUGGCGGGGUAAAGGCCCACCAAGGCGAUGAUAGAUAGGCGGCCUUAACGGGUGGUCGCCCACACUGGGAUUGAGAUACGGCCCAGACUCCUACGGGAGGCAGCAGUCGAGAAUAGUCUACAAUGGCCGAAAGGCUGAUAGUGCGACGCCGCGUGAACGAAGAAGCCCUUCGGGGUGUAAAGUUCUUUUAUAUGUGAGCAGUGCUUUCUAUGUGAACAGCAUGGGGAAGAGAUAUUAGCAUAUGAAUAAGCAACGGCUAACUCCGUGCCAGC
rnacentral:rRNA from 1 species